rnacentral:rRNA from 1 species
UACGUAGGGUGCAAGCGUUAAUCGGAAUUACUGGGCGUAAAGCGUGCGCAGGCGGUUAUGUAAGCCAGAUGUGAAAUGCCCGGGCUUAACCUGGGAACUGCAUUUGUGACUGCAUGGCUAGAGUUUGGCAGAGGGGGGUAGAAUUCCACGUGUAGCAGUGAAAUGCGUAGAUAUGUGGAGGAACACCGAUGGCGAAGGCAGCCUUCUGGGCCAACACUGACGCUCAUGCACGAAAGCGUGGGGAGCAAACAGG